AAAUCAACAAAACAGCAGAAACACUGCAGUACAACAAAUACCCCAAACAACAAUGCAAAAACAUAAAAUAAAAAAUACUGAACUCCGAGGAAAUUCAAAACGGAAAUCCCUAAUCAAAUAAGAAGCCACAUAUGGUUAAUACCACUAUGCGAGUAAAAUAAUUUUGUCGUUCAAAGUAUUUUUAAAUUCAUAAUAAAACAAUAACAUAAUGACAUAUAAUAGAACAAUAACAUAAUGGCAACACACACAGAAACGAACUAUAAGAUAACAACUGCCAUUUUCCUGACAUGGCACAGCCAUGCAAAUGUUGUAUAUAACACUAUAAUGACAAAAUUGCAUGACAGGACUACAGUCAAAUAAUGCAAGAACAUUCAGGACAGAGAUAUACACAAAUAAACAAUACAAUAUGACAUUUCGACAUGCUAAUAGUUAACAAGGGUACAAGGCUUAUAAUUUAAUACACCGUACGUGCGUUUCUUCCAAAAGCAAUGAUAAACUUACAACAUAAAAUCAAAAAGACCUAGAAAUAUCCCAC
rnacentral:lncRNA from 1 species